ACGGGGAGCAGCCCGGAGUCUGAAUCAGCUUGUGUGUUAGUGGAACGGUCUGGAAAGUCCGACGGUACAGGGUGAUAGUCCCGUACACGAAAAUGCACAGGUUGUGAACUCGAAGAGUAGGGCGGGACACGUGGUAUCCUGUCUGAAUAUGGGGGGACCAUCCUCCAAGGCUAAAUACUCCUGACUGACCGAUAGUGAACC
rnacentral:rRNA from 1 species